GCCUGGGUGGCUCAGUCAGUUAAGCGUCUGACUUCAGCUCAGGUCAUGAUCUCACGGUUUGUGAGUUCAAGCCCCACAUCAGGCU
rnacentral:tRNA from 1 species